rfam:Pseudomonas syringae pv. pisi str. 1704B contig1625.1, whole genome shotgun sequence.
GCCCAGAUAGCUCAGUCGGUAGAGCAGGGGAUUGAAAAUCCCCGUGUCGGCGGUUCGAUUCCGUCUCUGGGCA